UACGGAGGGGGCUAGCGUUGUUCGGAAUUACUGGGCGUAAAGCGCACGUAGGCGGCUUUGUAAGUUAGAGGUGAAAGCCCGGAGCUUAACUCCGGAACUGCCUUUAAGACUGCAUCGCUUGAAUCAUGGAGAGGUUAGUGGAAUUCCGAGUGUAGAGGUGAAAUUCGUAGAUAUUCGGAAGAACACCAGUGGCGAAGGCGACUAACUGGCUCGACACUGACGCUGAGGUGCGAAAGCGUGGGGAGCAAACAGG
rnacentral:rRNA from 1 species